UACAGAGGUCUCAAGCGUUGUUCGGAUUCAUUGGGCGUAAAGGGCGCGUAGGCUGCGGGGUAAGUCGGGUGUGAAAUCUCAGGGCUCAACCCUGAAACUGCACUCGAUACUGCUCUGCUUGAGGACUGGAGAGGAGACUGGAAUUCACGGUGUAGCAGUGAAAUGCGUAGAUAUCGUGAGGAAGACCAGUGGCGAAGGCGGGUCUCUGGACAGUUCCUGACGCUGAGGCGCGAAGGCCAGGGGAGCAAAAGGG
rnacentral:rRNA from 1 species